UUGGGUGAAACUGAUAGGAUCCUUCGUGCUGCUUCUAAUGGCCCAAAUCUAAUAUAUCAUGGUCAUCCUCCAAAAGUUGUAGGCUUGAGUGAAAUUGAAAGGAUCCUCCAUACAAUUCCUAGAGGCCCAAACCCAAUACAUCAUGGUGGUCCUCCUCGAAUAGUUGAAGAAUUGAGUGGAAUCGAUAGCAUUCUUCGUACAGUUCUUGGAGGCCA
rnacentral:lncRNA from 1 species